GGUGGGGUAGCGAAGUGGCUAAACGCGGCGGACUGUAAAUCCGCUCCCUACGGGUUCGGCGGUUCGAAUCCGCCCCCCACCACCA
rnacentral:tRNA from 3 species